rnacentral:tRNA from 1 species
GGGAUGUUAGCUCAGCUGGUUCAGAGCACCUGCCUUACAAGCAGGGGGUCACUGGUUCGAAUCCAGUACGUCCCA